ACUAGAAUUAUGCCAUUAGACAUCACCACUAUUAAAUCGGUCGGAAUUGCACGCGAUGUAAAAAAUGCAUGCUAACAUCAGUUUGUAAAAAAUCGAUUUCUAUUGUGAUUAUAAACAUCGGUCGUUAAAUUAACUGAUGUGUAAAGUCUUGUUCAAAAAUUUUGAAAAAACGCGGAGGGACUAACUUAAAACAUUUGAGAGGCGCGGGGACUAAAUUUUCAUUCCCCCCAACACUUUGUAUUUUCAGAAGCCAACCCUAGCUAAAGCAGCCUCUCCCACUUUCACUUCGCGCAGUUCCUUCACCUUACCCGACCUCGUUCUCCCCAACCUGGUUCUACGACCGGAGCUCGUUCUCCGACCCGACCUCGUCCUCCCCGACGUCAUUCUACGACCUGAGCUCGUUCUCCGACCCGAUCUCGUCCUUCAACGACCCGAGCCACCUUCAGCUCCUUCACCGACCCAGAACUGCCUCGAUCGACCACGACCACGAUCUCCUUCAGCGAGCUCCUCCGACCUCUUUGUAUGACCUGAGCUCGUUCUCCGACCCGACCUCGUCCUUCAACGAUCCGAGCCACCUUCAGCUCCUUCAUCGACCCAGAACAGCCUCGAUCGACCACGACCACGAACUCCUUCAGCGAGCUCAUUCAAUGACCUGACCACGAACUCAUUCUCCCACCUGAGCUCGUCAUUGUCCGACUUGAGCCGGCUUGAGGUAGUUCUCCGAUCGCCACCAUCGUAGUGGGGAGUUUGAAGGCUAGGACCUAUUAAUUUGGAAUCAAAAAAGUAAAAUCAAAAUGCCGUGAAACAGGAACUGUGUUGUUUGGUGGUGUUGCUCCGCGCCAUACUGUAAUUGUAUUCACUCGGUGGGUUUGCUUUGAAGAGAGAAAUUGCAGGACAGUGAUUGGAAGAAGAAUUCAGUGUUCAGCACAAGCACCACCUCCAGCUUGGCUAGGAAGUGCUUUUCCGGAGCCGGGCCAGAGGACUUGAGAUGGUCCAAAAGCCUAGUUCUGUUGUUGGAUCUACUGGUUCCAUUGGAACCCAGACAUUGGACAUUGUUGCAGAGAACCCGAAAAAAUUCAGAGUUGUGGCCCUAGUAGCUGGCUCAAAUGUGUAUCUUCUUGUUGAUCAGGUAAUCCAUCAGAUGGAUAAAAUUUCAUAGAAUUGUUCAUAUUGUCAUCUGAUCAGUGAGGGAUUCAAAGAAUAAAGCUGGUCAAGGAGGCCGUGGGGGUGGAAGUGGAUAUGGAUAUGGGCGAGGCCGUGGCGGUGGUAGAUACAAUUGUGAUUCAGCCAAUAAUGAAAACAACAGUGGGUACAAUCGUGAAUCAGCCCCUGCUGGUCAGGGUGCUUUUAAGGAUGCACCUCCUAAACGGCGUUUCUCUGGUGGGGAUGGUGAUGGAAGGCCAUUUGAAAGGCGUGGCUAUGUAACUUACUUUAUAAUGAAUCCUACAAGGCUUGCAUUCAUUCGCUCAACACUGUGCCGUCAUUUCAGGAGGGACCCAUUAUCUGCUAGGCCCUUUGAAGGGCUCAAAUUUAUUGAUGUUGGCUGUGGAGGUGGAAUUCUUUCUGAGAGACAGUAUCCAUCACAUUGACAUUUCUAUUGCCCUACAAGAGCAUCCUUUAGCUCGGAUGAGAGCUGCUGUAACAGGAGUUGAUGCUGUUAAGAAAAAUAUCAAGAUAGCUCGCUUUCACUCAGACUUGGAUCCAGUGACCUCAAAACUUGAAUGUCAAUGCACUACAGCUGUGCGGUUAAAAGUUACAAUGCUGAAAAGGGGAGGGCUAACAAAGUGCCUAAAU